CCUGGUGUCUAUGGCGGUGUGGAACCACGCUUAUCCAUCUCGAACUGAGUUGUGAAACGCACCCGCGGCAAAGAUAGUUGGACGGCAGCGUCCCGCAAAAAUAGCUCGAUGCCAGGG
rnacentral:rRNA from 1 species